rnacentral:rRNA from 1 species
CAGCCGCCGCGGUAAUACGGAGGGUGCAAGCGUUAAUCGGAAUUACUGGGCGUAAAGCGCACGCAGGCGGUCUGACAAGUCAGAUGUGAAAUCCCCGGGCUUAACCUGGGAACUGCAUUUGAAACUGUCAGGCUGGAGUCUUGUAGAGGGGGGUAGAAUUCCAGGUGUAGCGGUGAAAUGCGUAGAGAUCUGGAGGAAUACCGAUGGCGAAGGCAGCCAUCUGGCCUAAUACUGACGCUGAGGUACGAAAGCAUGGGGAGCAAACAGGAUUAGAUACCCGGGUAGUCCCUGUCUCUUAUAC